rnacentral:rRNA from 1 species
AAAAGAGUUUUCCGCUUCGGACCAUGCCUAAGUCCCUUGGAAAAGGGCAUCAUAGAGGGUGAUAAUCCCGUACAUGGCAUGGAGCGCCCGAAGCUUUGUGAUACGCUUUCUAAGAGUCGAGUUGUUUGGGAAUGCAGCUCAAAAUGGGUGGUAAAUGCCAUCUAAGGCUAAAUAUUGGGGAGAGACCGAUAGCGAACAAGUACAGUGAUGGAAAGAUGAAAAGAACUUUGAAAAGAGAGUUAAACAGUACGUGAAAUUGCCAAAAGGGAAGGGUAGGAGGUCAGAGAUGCGGCCUGGGAUUCAGCCUUGCUUUUGCUUGGUGUUUUUCCCAGAUUGCAGGCCAACGUCGGUUUUGGGCACUGGAGAAGGGUAGGAGGAACGUGGCACCUCUCGGGGUGUGUUAUAGCCUCCUACUGGAUACAGCGACCGAGACCGAGGACAGCANCGUACUCGCAAGAGCGGGCCUUCNGGCACCUUUACGCUUAGGGCGUUGGCAUAAUGGCCCUCUACCACCCGUCUUG